ACGCACGCUGGCGGCGUGCUUAACCCAUGCCAGUCGAACGGUGAAGCUCCAGCUUGCUGGAGUGGAUCAGUGGCGAACGGGUGAGUAACACGUGAGCAACCUGCCCCUGACUCUGGAAUAAGCGCUGGAAACGGCGUCUAAUACUGGAUACGAGAAGGGUCCGCAUGGGCACUUUCUGGAAAGUUUUUCGGUUGGGGAUGGGCUCGCGGCCUAUCAGCUUGUUGGUGAGGUAAUGGCUCACCAAGGCGACGACGGGUAGCCGGCCUGAGAGGGCGACCGGCCACACUGGGACUGAGACACGGCCCAGACUCCUACGGGAGGCAGCAGUGGGGAAUAUUGCACAAUGGGCGAAAGCCUGAUGCAGCGACGCCGCGUGAGGGAUGACGGCCUUCGGGUUGUAAACCUCUUUCAGCAGGGAAGAAGCGAAAGUGACGGUACCUGCAGAAGAAGCACCGGCUAACUACGUG
rnacentral:rRNA from 1 species